GACGAACGCUGGCGGCGUGCUUAACACAUGCAAGUCGAACGAAGUGGCGAACGGGUGAGUAAUACGUGGGUAACCUGCACUCCUUUUUGGGAUAAGCCUUGGAAACGGGGUCUAAUACCGAAUAAAGGGGGAUGGGCUCGCGGCCUAUCAGCUUGUUGGUGGGGUCAUGGCCUACCAAGGCGGUGACGGGUAGCCGGCCUGAGAGGGUGACCGGACACAAAGGGACUGCGUUACGGCCCAGGCUCUUACGGGAGGCAGCAUUGGGAGAUGUUGCACAAUGGGCGAAAGCCUGAUGCAGCGACUCCGCGUGGGGGAUGAAGGCUUUCGGGUUGUAAACCUCUUACGCUGUCGAACGGGUAGGUUGAGAAGAAGCGCCGGCUAACUACGUGCCAGCAGCCGCGGUAAUUC
rnacentral:rRNA from 1 species